UACGGAGGGUGCAAGCGUUAUCCGGAUUCACUGGGUUUAAAGCGCGUGUAGGUGGGUCGUUAAGUGUCCGCGUGAAAUCCCACGGCUCAACCGUGGAACUGCCGGGCAUACUGGCGAUCUUGAGGCAUUCAGGGGCGAGCGGAACAAGUGGUGGAGCGGUGAAAUGCGUAGAUAUCACUUGGAACGCCAAUGGUGAAAACAGCUCGCUGGGAAUGAUCUGACACUGAGACGCGAAAGCCAGGGGAGCGAACGGG
rnacentral:rRNA from 1 species